UACGUAGGGUGCAAGCGUUGUCCGGAAUUAUUGGGCGUAAAGAGCUCGUAGGCGGUCUGUCGCGUCGGCUGUGAAAUCCCGAGGCUCAACCUCGGGUCUGCAGUCGAUACGGGCAGACUGGAGUACUGCAGGGGAGACUGGAAUUCCUGGUGUAGCGGUGGAAUGCGCAGAUAUCAGGAGGAACACCGGUGGCGAAGGCGGGUCUCUGGGCAGUAACUGACGCUGAGGAGCGAAAGCGUGGGGAGCGAACAGG
rnacentral:rRNA from 1 species